rnacentral:lncRNA from 1 species
GAGAAUUUGCUCUGGUAAAGAAAUCAUACUUGUAACAUUGUAGCAAAGAUCUACAUAUAUACCUACGUGACUGAAAAUUCUUCCCUACCUUCCCAGGAUUUCUAGUUAUCCCCUAGGGGAGACAUAUAUAAGGUGACAGGGAAGUUAUAAUGAUACUUCUGAAACAAUUUGUGAUAGUGGUAACUUUCAGAGGACUGCUAAGACAGUAAACGAAUGAAGGUAUGAUUUUGUGACUCAGAAAUGAAGUUUCUCAAGGUUCUAGAAAGCUACAAAGAUGUCUGGCAUAUCCAGCAACUGCAUCAUCUUAU